rnacentral:lncRNA from 1 species
AGUCUCUCGACCGAGUAUUUAUAAUGAGGGGAAACACUUGUGUCUCUGCAGAAAGUAUAAAAAAAGGAUCUGUGUCAAAAUUUUCAGAGUACAGCAAAUGCCCGCAUUUUGAUGCGCAUACUAAGUUCCCCCCAAGUUUCAGAAUACAAAUUAUUCUGAUUAAGUUUCAUCACCAGUCACGCUCUGAACUUUUACAACAUCCAUUUUUUUACAUCAGAUAUAUUCAAAGCAAAAGCAUGUUUAGUAAUUACUCCCUCC